AAGAACUGGGCGCAUGCAGAUGCAGGACCAAACACGAAACUAGCUCAAACAACCGACUGGAAUUGGGCUUCAUGACUGGAAUUCGUUCAGAAAAAAAAAUGUCCCGUCGUUCCUUGGACGGUUGGACCUAACACAACCCAUGAGGAAACAUAUUUUUCUCAAAUCUCAAUAUCGGCGCGCCCUAGGGCGAGAUGGAGACGACGAGUUCUUCCGGAGGCGACGAGACUCAGGGGUCAGGAUUGGUGGAGGUACAAGUGGCUACGGCGGCGCUGCGGCGGUCAGAAGUGUUCCACAUCGUGAAGGAGCUCCUGGGCUUCGUCCUGUACAUGCACCACCAGAUCCCCUCAUAAAUGGGAUUCUUAUGUGUAAUUUGAUAUGGCUGCAUUUCCUAGGGCAAGAGCCCGCCUCUUGCCAGACCUCUUGCAGUGGACAUAGGGUUUUGCAGAAUCUUGAAAAUGAAUUUACAGAUCUAAAGGAGGAAAUGACAGAAAUGGCAAUACCACCAGCAGAACUGAAACCUUCUGAUCAGAGGAAGUACAACACACGAAAAAGGGAGGUUAGGUGCAGAAUCAAGAAGCGGCAGAAGUUAAUGAAUGGCAUCUCUACCUUACUUUCCGCUCUUCAGCAAGCACUUGAUGAAGUUUCUAGAAUAGAAGGAAUUGCCCUGAUUCUUGGUGGGAGCCUUGUACGGCCUUUGUUUGUCUAUGACAUUACAGUUUCUCAUGGUAGAUUUGAUUCUGGAGGUACCAAAGAGCAUGCGACAACCAAGUUAGCUCAGUCUGUUUCUCGAAAGGCCAUCCGAGCUCUUAUAUCAGGUGGUGCAGGGAGUUUAUCAUACACAGGGCCUACCAAGCUGUUUCUUCUGGUCAGAUGUCCCUGUACAUUGAACUUGCCCCUGGAUUUCCUGCCAAAACGUGAUUUUCGUUACAGUUGUACCCAAGCAUAUGUCCAUAAAAUGCAAUUCAUCAUGCUAUCAGACGAAUAAUGAGCAUGUUGCAUCAAUCUUGGAUGCUUCAUGUUGCAAUUCAGAAUCUUCUCCUUCAGAUGUUAUCUGGUUCCAGUGCAAGCACACGAUAAGAGGCUUACCAUGCAAGGCGUCAUUAGAAGGAUGAUCUGGCUUGGGAGUGUCUGGGCUGACCCUUACAAGGUCAUUUCUGUUGUACCGACAUUUGUAAGAAUGGACAAUGCCGUAGCGAGGUGAACCCCAGUUCUGGCUCGGUAAAUACUCGCGAGAAAGGAUCAGUAUCCUCAGUCGCAACAUGUGUUCCCCAUUUUCGUGUUCAAUGUACUCUCUGUUUGCAUGGGAAUUAUUGUGCCCAGCUCCCUAGUUACUAGCAUUGCAGAAUAUAAAUUGGGCAAUGUAUCAGGUGAAACGCUAUAUUGGUGCAUAUCAGGGAGCUUUCACCUCAACAGAA